UGCUCUCUCUCUCUCUCUCUCUAUGUAUAUAUGUGAAAAAAAAAAAUGAAAACCCAGUUGAGAUAUGCACAAUCAACUCUACCUCUGGCCUAAAAAACAAAGCCAAAACCCAGAAGAAAGGAAUUUCUGAAAUCUCUCUGUUUUCUGAAGUGCUAGAACCAAUGUGCAAGAAACACCAGGCCUUAUAGAAACAACCCAAGUACCCAUCACCGUUUUUCUCUCUUUUCCAAUUGUAAAGGAAUCACUGGAAAACAAUAUUGGGUUGGCACAUAGUCCAACUUCUUUGUCAUUUUCCCUCCUCAUAUCAAGGACCCUUUUUU
rnacentral:misc_RNA from 1 species